rnacentral:rRNA from 1 species
GUAGGUGGCAAGCGUUGUCGGAUUUAUUGGGCGUAAAGCGAGCGCAGGCGGAAGAAUAAGUCUGAUGUGAAAGCCCUCGGCUUAACCGAGGAACUGCAUCGGAAACUGUUUUUCUUGAGUGCAGAAGAGGAGAGUGGAAUUCCAUGUGUAGCGGUGGAAUGCGUAGAUAUAUGGAAGAACACCAGUGGCGAAGGCGACUCUCUGGUCUGCAACUGACGCUGAGGCUCGAAAGCAUGGGUAGCGAACAGGAUUAGAUACCCUGGUAGUCAAGGGCG